AUUUUUCGUUUUUAUGAGCCGAUGAGGGUUUUUUUUUAGUAACGGUACAAACAGUGAAAGGCGGUGGAUUGUCCAGAUGCUGGUCGAUGUGGAAAAAAUAACUGAGUUGUUUGGUAGUCGCUGACGCGGAGCUACAACCGAGGGCAGCUAUCCACCGGUGUGUGUCAGAAAGAACAUGCGGGGAACGAGGCGGCGAGGCGACCGCCGAUCGACCGGUGGUAGAUCGUGGAUCAGGGAAACCGAAGGCAGGAGAAGCAGGCGGCUGCCGGUCGGAGCGUGAGGUGAACUGAAUUUCAGUCGCUGACGCGGAGCUACAACCGAGGGCAGCUAUCCACCGGUGUGUGUCAGAAAGAACAUGCGGGGAACGAGGCGGCGAGGCGACCGCCGAUCGACCGGUGGUAGAUCGUGGAUCAGGGAAACCGAAGGCAGGAGAAGCAGGCGGCUGCCGGUCGGAGCGUGAGGUGAACUGAAUUUCAGACCAGAAAAACAUCACAACUAAGUCUGGACACGACGUCACUCUGCCAUGUCGAGCUCCAAACAACAACAUCAUAGUUGUGGAGUGGAGCAGAGCUGACCUGGAUGAGUAUGUCCUUUUGUACAGGGAUCAUGGGUCUGUACUUGAAGAGCAGCAUCCAUCUUUUAAGAACCGGGUGGAUCUGCAGGACAGACAGAUGAAGGAUGGAAACGUGUCUGUGAUUUUGAACGAUGUGACGAUUAAUGAUACUGGAACAUACGAGUGUCGUGUCGUCCAGGGAGGACCCAGCCCCAAGAAGAAAGUCAUUAACAACAAGCCUAUCUGUAUCAUCUACCUGAGUGUUGAUCCUCCAGGUCAGAUGGGAGGAGGGACAGAGGAUGGAUCUGUUGGACUGAUUGUUGGUCUGUCAGUUUCUGCUGUGCUUCUUGUUGCUGCUGUUGUUGGUUUUCUCAUCUACAGAAAACAUCAACAACAACAGAGUCAGGAUCCAUACCAGCCUCCAGUUGAACUGGAGCUUGUUUGAAAUCUUUCACAGCUUUUUC
ensembl:lncRNA